GUCAGAGCAGGUAUUAACAGUCUUUUGUGUUAGAGCGGCUGAGCAGUACGUCUGUUCUGUUGUGCUGCUGCCUGCCUCAGAGUUGGUUGGUCUGUAACAGUUUUUGUCUUAGAUAUAAUCAGGCCUUUUUUCCCAUCUGGAACUCACCAGAACUCAGUUCUGGCACCUCUCAGGUGAGUGCCAUUGCCAUUAGAAGAGAACAAGGGAGGCGUUCAUGGUGAAUUCCAGCACCUCUUUUUCUAGAAAAACAGCACUGGAUACAACUCUAUGUAAUAUGUAUUCGUAACAUAAGUAACACCUUGCUGUCUUGUAUGUUUAAUCUAACAAGUGCAAGUACACUGAGUAAUUUGUUAUUUGUUAUUUAAACUUUAAAAGAGAGUGUCUUGCAUAUUUUUUAUAGGAGGCAAAAGGGAACUAAUUAAAGGGUUAAAUGACCCGGUCUCUUCAUUUUGCAUAGCUCUGUAAAUGGGAACUAGAGUCUAAUUUCCACACUUUCAAGGUGUAUAACCCCAUCAGUUCUGGAAACUUUCCCACCACAAGCUGAAAUCAGUGUGUCCCACAUUUGAAGUUUCAAUCCCUUUGGCCAUAACAGUGCAUCAUGGAAAUGUGUCACCAUUGCAUCCACAAGGAGUUUUGUUAACUGGAAAUCUAGAAAUUCCAGAAUCUGUUGGUAAACGUCACUUAAACAUGCAGGUCUCCAGCAAGCGAAGGACCUGUGUGGUCAUAUGGUAGGUUCAACAUCACUCCCUCCCCUUCUGUACUGGGCUUAUGGGGUUAGCAGUGGCCCAGCUUUGUGGAGUCAUAGAGCCUUCAAAAGUUUAGGCAAGAAGCCAUAAGCCUGUAACGUCAACCUGUCAUAAAACUGUUUACAGCUACAAUCUUUCUUUACUGUAAACCUGCCAUGAAGACUCGGCAAUUUGGCAGGAUAACAAGUGUGGAGGCAGAUGUGAAACAUCUGCAGCUUUAUGCAAGAUAAUAAUGUACAUGUCUGGUGCUUUGCACUUGCUGAGGAAUCUAGAGAGUUGACUUCUGGAUGGAUGAAUAUAUACAAGUGAAUGGGGAGAAAUGACAAACAGGAAGAAUGGGAAAGACCUGGAUCAAAAGUGAGCAGUAAAGGAGUAAGGAAGAGAGCACCAUCCAGAAAACUGCAUUUCUGAACCAACCAAAGGAACACACCUAAAGCAAAAUCGCACAUGGCUCUUCUUUAUUUAGGCUCCUGGGAUGUUAAUAGUUAUCUAGCCCAUGCCUUCAAGACUGCCAGUUGGUGAUGACUAAGGACCUGGGCAUUAGGGAGACAUGCCCUUAUGUUUGAGAGUGGUGCUUUGCAGCUAGGAGUGCAGUGGUAUAGUUAAUCAAAAAGAUUUAUUUAAUCAAAAAGAAAUGCAUUGACUAUUAAACAUAUGUUUACUAGGAAGUAAGUCCCUCUAUGUUCAAUUGAGUUUACUCACCAGUUAAGUGUGCUCUGGAUCAGAGUCUUUGAGUACAGUUAUAUGCAUGUCUAUUGAGAAGAAUGUCUCACUGAGUCCAAUGGGGCUUACCCUUAUGAAUAGAAUUGCAGUCUUAGAGAACCUCAGCAGUGGACUGAUCUUCCAGUUUCAAUGUAUGCCAACACACACACGCGCACACACUGUGGCAAAAAGGUAGAGCAUCUUUAAGAGUUCCUUAAUGACACAAAUUAUCUAAAUUCACUUCAGUCUGGAUUUAGGACUGGCUUCAGAAUGGAAUUAGUCUUAGAAUCAUAGAAUCAUAGAAUUGUAGGGUUGGAAGGGAUUCCAGGGGUCAUCUAGUCCAACCUACUGCAGUGAAGGAACUGAUUGCCCUGAUGAUGAUCUUAUGAAGUGUGACCAUGUUACUCAUAUGGGAUCUUUCAAUGGCCUUUGAUACUAUUGACCCUGUUAUUCUCCCAGAUUGACUGUGUUUGAUGGGUAAUACAGCGAUCCCCUUCCCACCUUUGCUUUUGACUUCCAGGUGUCUCUUGAAGACUUUGUAUAUGCUGACAGGCCUGUGCAGUUGUUCAAAACACUCCUGAUUAGCCAGUCACUUUAAUGAUUAUUUUCAACUGUUUUCAACUGUGUUUUAGGUUUUAUCAUUGCACACCACCACAAUAUUUUAUGGCAGUGUAUAAAUACUUUUUCUCAAUCAAUCAGUCAGUCAAAAAGCUCAAUGAAACGCUGGCCCAGAAAUCUAGCAGAUGAUUUUAUUUUAUUUUAUUUAAAGAAAAAGAAUAGUAUCAAUUCAUAACUACUGUUCCAAGAAUCUGUUCAACAUACGUAACUCUUUUAGUGUGGGAGUGAAGUGGGCCCCCUCCAGUUUUAAUAAACUAAAAUAAACAUAUCAAGAACUUGAUCAAAAGUUUGAGAAAUACAACUUCUGGGACGUAGCAGGGAGCAAGAUGGCAUGGAAGCAGGAACAGUGUCUAGGAAAGGUAAGAAAUGAGGGUGGUGCCAAGCAGAGCUUCUAGAAAACAGUGAUUUCAGAGUUGUGAACAGCCCACUCUCCCACUCUCAAGGCUGCUAUUCUCUCUCUCUGCCUCUAGAAAGGUGUUUUGUUUGUUUUUAAUACUAUGGAAUUGAUUAUCCUCAUGCAUGCAAUAUUUUUUUACAGCAUCCUGAAAACACCACUGGCAUUAAAAUGCCAGGUGAUAUACCCCCUUCUCAAUUUAUUUCAGAUUUACCCUCUCUGGGGAAAUUUUGCUAAAUUAAAAAAACAAACAAACUGUUGUGAAUGACGAUUUCGCAACACCUGAAUGUCUCAUUUGCAAUAUUAAGCCUCUAUCUGGAAGCACACUUCCAGGCUGUGGGCACGUUUUGCUGCUUAAAAACACAGCUAAGCCAUUCUUUCUCUCAGUCUGAAUUGAAGCUGAUGGGGGGGUGGAUGGCAUACCCUCCAACAUCCUGCUGAUCAAAAUCAGGAUGCUCAUUUUUUAGUCCGGAGCUUUCACAGGAGCCAGCUGAUUUGUGCAUGAGUGCAAGACCAAAAACUAAGCGUCUUUUGUUCUGGUGCUCCAGUGCAAGCUAGCUGGCUCGAGCCAGAGCACUGGACCAAAAAACACUACGUUUCAGGAUCCAAUCAGAAUUCAGAAUGGCUUCUGUAAUUCUGGGAUGUCCCACUAAAGAUGGGCACUGGCAGAGGAAGAGGAGUGCGGGGGGAGCGCAUCGCCCCCGGCAGCACGAUCCCAGUGGGGUGCCAUCGUGGCUGCCCCCCUGCCCGUGCUGGGUGCCCCGCCCCCAGGAUUCCUGCCCCGCCCCCGUCUGCUCUCUGCCCCCCAGUGCUGGGACAGUUGAGGGGUAUGAAACAGGAGUAUUUCAUAAGAAAUAGCAAGACAUGCACAGGGCAGAUAUGGUUUGUGGCUAACCUUGUCUUGUAUGCUGUUUUGCAAAUGAGCUGUGGGAGUACAUUGGGCCUGCAGACCCACUCUUACACCAUCAGAUGCAGCACACACCUGCCUCUCCACUGGCCUCUUAACCAAACUUCAUUCCCUUCUCUCCCAGUCUUCCAGCUGCAUCAGACAUUUCCGUCCAAAUUAAUUCUAUCUUCCUUUAAAGCCCCAGCUUUAGGAAAGCAGGAUAGAAUAUGCAGAAAUUUAAACAUGAAUGCAAAUUGAUAUUAUCUAGAGUCUUCCCUCUGCUACCACUCUGGGUGCAGAAUUUGGCCCACUUUUGAUGCUGUGUACAGACGUCCUGUAGCUGUGGUUGAUCCACCUUCCCCUUCUGCAUGCUUAAGAGCCAUGUGUAACUCAAAGGCUUGCAUGGACCUACAGCACGACCAGAAGCCGAUGUCUCCAUUUUGAGUGUCUCACCAUGCUGAAUUUGGUCAUUUGUGAGAUGGUUUGCUCCUCCCUGACUUGCCUUGCUGCUUCUCUGAGAAAGUCUCUUGUCCUUUUCUCCUACCUGAGGGGUUUAUUCCUCUAUAAAAAUAUUUCCUCUUACUUUCUCCCCCGCCCUUCUGCGAUGGUGAAAAGGACGGGGGCUGUAUUAGAACACACUGUAACAAACAGAACAGGGCACUAGUUGAACUCCUACAUAACUGUGAGCUUGUCAGCACCUUCAGCUGUAAGCCCAGCGCCAACAGGGCCCUGCCUUUGGAAAGAGCCAAGCCAGCUCCUAAAAAUCUUUUUGUUGCUUCAUUUCAUAUUUGAGAAAGGUAGAAGUAAUUGAACUGAAAAGCAAUGCAGGAGGAACCCCAUGCCAAGCUGAGGAACAGUGGGGCAUUAAACACACAAUUGCCUCUUAAAUUCCAAGACUCUGAGCACACAUCAAAGCCUAGAGCUUUGGCUAAGCUGUCAUUGGUCUUUUUCCAACUACGCUGCAGAGCCCUACAGAAAGAGAGAAUUUCACAACCCGGGAUGAGCCCAUUGCUUUUUAAAGCUGAGUUCUGGGAUGCAAUAAGUUGCUGCCAUUCCUUGAACCAGUGCUAUUUAUGUAGAAAAAGAGGUUCCGGAACUCACCAUGAAUACCACCCUUAUUAUCUUAGAAUGGUAAUGGCACCCACCUGAGAGGUGCCAGAAAUGAGGUCCGGUGAGUUCCCACUGAAAAAUGCCCUGUCUUGGACAAAUGUACAAGACUUUAUAAAUGUUGGUAGAUGGGGGAAUAUUGUAUAUUUCAGUAGAGGAAGGGAUGUAGCUGUGUAGUAGGGCAUCUGCUUUGCAUGCAAAGGCCACAUGUUUAACUCCUGGCAUUGCCAGGUAGGAAUGGGAAUGUACCCUACCUGCAGCUCUGGAGAGCUGUUGCCAGUCAGCAUAGAAAACACUGACCUAGAUGAUUUACUGAUCUGACUUAGUACAUGGCAGCUUCCUAGGUUGUUCCUACAAAGGAAAACCCUGCAAUUGUGACUUUAUUCAAUUCUUGGAAUAGCCAGACUAGCUUCCUGGUGAGAUAAUGGCCCUCAAUGUAUGGGCCAUUAAGGCAACAAAGGAAGUGGUUUUGUUCCAUAUGACAAAUGGGUGGGCUCCCCUCUCUCAACUCACUGGUAGUUAGAAAGAUAAAGGCCAGAGUUGAGAGUUUUGUGUGUGAGUUAGAAGCUGGCAGGGAGCCUGGGAGAGUCAGAGCCAUGCAUGAUUUAUGCUGGUAGCCAAGGCUGUGGGUGUGGGUGUAGGCUCAAGUUGUAUAUAUGUGUAAAUAAGCCAUAUAGCCUGAAGACACCACAGUCUCUGUUGUCCCUCAUUCUGAACCCUAGACUCUCACAUUACUGGGAAAUUGGGGCGGAGUGCAACAUUAUGUGGGCAAUGUGAUUGGCUACCAAGGGCACAAACUGUAUCGGCUCAUCAACAGCACGAAGGAGGAGCACCACUUACCUUCCCAAGUAAUUUGGCAAUUUUAGUCAUACCAGCAAAAUUGGCCAGCUUUCUUUUGCUGCUUUAGUUAGCAUUAACGGUGCGGGGGUGGAGGCACCUUCGCACAAAAUGCCUUUCCACAUAGUUACUGUAAGUGUAUGGUGGCCAGAUGCAAAAGAGAAGGUAAAGCAGAGGAGGAAGGAGGACAUAAAUAUGAAAUCAACCGCAGAGGAAGUCUCCAUGGUGAACUGUUGUUUAUUAGGCCCAGCACAUUUGCAGUGCAGGCCGUCCUUCAAGCAUUAAGCCCUCAUAGAGUGUAAUUAAAUAAAUAUACAGUUUUGUUCCAGAAGUGCCACCACAUACUUUGAAUCUCUGGGUGGAGAGUGAAUGGGCACUGGGCAGCCCUCACAGAAAUGGAAUACCUUGCUGCUGUUAAACACUACCAACACACAGUUAAUGCUAGACCCUCUUCUGUGCAAUACUAAGUAGAUAUUUAUCUAGUAGCACACUCAUGAUAUUGGUCACAUCACAUGUCACCUAUCUUCAGUGGGGGUACCUGUCACAGGCACCUCCAAAUUCUCACUAUUUUGCAGGUGGGAUUCAUACACUUACCAGAACCUUAGGCGUCCACAUUUGAUAGUGGAUUCAAGUGUUCUGUUGCCUUUGCACAACAAAUCCACUUUUAAAAGAACCAGACUUUUUGCGGUUUGGAAAGUGACAGGGAAAUACAUUAAAGAGCGUAGAAAGAACAAAUGAGUAACAGAAAGAUAUAUAAACAUUUCACAAGUCAGUCAGGAUGAAUGCGGAGUGAAUGCUCAUUUUCAAAUAACCACCCUGUAAACAAAUCGGAACAAAUCCUCAGGAAAGACCGGACAUAGGCUAAGUACCAAAAAGCUUUGUGCAAACACAUCAGUAUGAAUGUUCAGUAAAUAGGUCAAUCGGAAGGGCCCAAAGAGUCAUUACUCAAAAUGUGUUCGUCAUAAUAAACAUUUCUCUUCCUUAGUAAACAUGGGGCAGCCAUAUCUCUACUGCAAAUGAGGGGAAUUUGGCUGAUAUAACUUGUCAUGCUGGGAAAAACUGAUACCCAAACUCCCUCACCCACUCCUAAUAUACAACUUUUAAAGUUACCAGAACCUUAUUUUUCUUUACCACUUAUCACCCUGUGUGAUGAGUAAAAAAAGAAAGAAAGAAGGAUCUCAUUGUAUAAUGACAGACUGCCCAUACAGCCACACCACCAGAGGAGCAUGCAAUGCAUUUGCUAUGUGCUGAUUUUUGACCAUGUGGUUCAGUCUCGACAGGUUAACAUGGAACCGGCAAAUUGGGUGGGAUGCGUGUCUCUUUAUAUAAGGAAGGGCAGCAGAAGGCGUGUGCCACAAUUGGUUAGAGCUGCAUGGAGUUUCAGCCGCUGAAUUUGGCUCCCAGUUCACCUGGCACCCCCUCGUCUUUUAACGCAGCACCACUAUUCCCCGACGCAUCACGCUGCAAUUUCCGCAUGUUCUGAGAUGACAUAACCACAUCCCAAAUGAGUUCCGGAUUACAUUUCAUCCAGCAAAUGCUUCAGAGACUGAGAACAUUGUGUGCAUUUCAUUAAAGGGAAGGACUGCCUUUUCAAGACCACCGUCAC